rnacentral:rRNA from 1 species
UACGUAGGGGGCUAGCGUUGUCCGGAUUUAUUGGGCGUAAAGAGCGUGUAGGCGGCCAGGUAGGUCUGGUGUGAAAACUCGAGGCUUAACCUCGAGAUGUCAUCGGAAACCAUUUGGCUAGAGUCCGGAAGAGGAGAGUGGAAUUCCUGGUGUAGCGGCGAAAUGCGCAGAUAUCAGGAAGAACACCAAUGGCGAAAGCAGCUCUCUGGGACGGUACUGACGCUGAGACGCGAAAGCGUGGGGAGCGAACAGG